AAAUUGAAGAGUUUGAUCAUGGCUCAGAUUGAACGCUGGCGGCAGGCCUAACACAUGCAAGUCGAACGGUAGCACAGAGAGCUUGCUCUCGGGUGACGAGUGGCGGACGGGUGAGUAAUGUCUGGGAAACUGCCCGAUGGAGGGGGAUAACUACUGGAAACGGUAGCUAAUACCGCAUAACGUCGCAAGACCAAAGUGGGGGACCUUCGGGCCUCACACCAUCGGAUGUGCCCAGAUGGGAUUAGCUAGUAGGUGGGGUAACGGCUCACCUAGGCGACGAUCCCUAGCUGGUCUGAGAGGAUGACCAGCCACACUGGAACUGAGACACGGUCCAGACUCCUACGGGAGGCAGCAGUGGGGAAUAUUGCACAAUGGGCGCAAGCCUGAUGCAGCCAUGCCGCGUGUAUGAAGAAGGCCUUCGGGUUGUAAAGUACUUUCAGCGAGGAGGAAGGCGUUGUGGUUAAUAACCACAGCGAUUGACGUUACUCGCAGAAGAAGCACCGGCUAACUCCGUGCCAGCAGCCGCGGUAAUACGGAGGGUGCAAGCGUUAAUCGGAAUUACUGGGCGUAAAGCGCACGCAGGCGGUUUGUUAAGUCAGAUGUGAAAUCCCCGGGCUCAACCUGGGAACUGCAUUUGAAACUGGCAAGCUUGAGUCUCGUAGAGGGGGGUAGAAUUCCAGGUGUAGCGGUGAAAUGCGUAGAGAUCUGGAGGAAUACCGGUGGCGAAGGCGGCCCCCUGGACAAAGACUGACGCUCAGGUGCGAAAGCGUGGGGAGCAAACAGGAUUAGAUACCCUGGUAGUCCACGCCGUAAACGAUGUCUACUUGGAGGUUGUGCCCUUGAGGCGUGGCUUCCGGAGCUAACGCGUUAAGUAGACCGCCUGGGGAGUACGGCCGCAAGGUUAAAACUCAAAUGAAUUGACGGGGGCCCGCACAAGCGGUGGAGCAUGUGGUUUAAUUCGAUGCAACGCGAAGAACCUUACCUGGUCUUGACAUCCACGGAAGUUUUCAGAGAUGAGAAUGUGCCUUCGGGAACCGUGAGACAGGUGCUGCAUGGCUGUCGUCAGCUCGUGUUGUGAAAUGUUGGGUUAAGUCCCGCAACGAGCGCAACCCUUAUC
rnacentral:rRNA from 1 species